AUUGAACGCUGGCGGCAGGCCUAACACAUGCAAGUCGAGCGGGGUUUUCGGACCUAGCGGCGGACGGGUGAGUAAUGCGUAGGAAGCUACCCGAUAGAGGGGGAUACCAGUUGGAAACGACUGUUAAUACCGCAUAAUGUCUACGGACCAAAGUGUGGGACCUUCGGGCCACAUGCUAUCGGAUGCGCCUACGUGGGAUUAGCUAGUUGGUGAGGUAAUGGCGCACCAAGGCGACGAUCCCUAGCUGGCUUGAGAGGAUGAUCAGCCACACUGGAACUGAGACACGGUCCAGACUCCUACGGGAGGCAGCAGUGGGGAAUAUUGGACAAUGGGCGCAAGCCUGAUCUAGCCAUGCCGCGUGUGUGAAGAAGGCCUUCGGGUUGUAAAGCACUUUCAGUAGGGAGGAAGCGUUGUGUGUUAAUAGUACACAGCGUUGACGUUACCUACAGAAGAAGCACCGGCUAACUCUGUGCCAGCCGCCGCGGUAAGAC
rnacentral:rRNA from 1 species